AUUCUCUCGCUGCGCUUACUUCGUGUUGCAAGAGUAGCUGUCAUUGCGACUGAAUUUUGACAGCUGUUAAAUUUGUAUAGAUAUUAUAUCUAUACAAUUAUCGUUAGCAAAUUAAAAUUUGCAUAGAUGUUCAGCAGAAAUCUUCCCUCCCACGGGUACGACCUUGUCGUGGUGGGAGGGCUUAGUACCCCGAGGGCUUGAAUGCCUAUGGGGGAAGCUAACUGUACCCAUUGCACCUGUUACGUCGUCGAUCGUAAAAUUGUGGUUCGUCGCGCCGCGUUAACGCGAUUCGGGAGUGCCGACCGACUGAAUUGAAAACGAACCGUAGCCGGCUCGUCGUGUCGCGCGUUUGCUUCGGGAGUGCCGUUCAAGUAAAUGGACUAAAAGGAUUUUUCGCAUAACUCGCAUUAGAAUGAUUUCUUAGUUCGAGAGACCCGGGUGGCACUUUCGAAGUCUCGACAGUAUGGGAUGCUCAUCGAGGCGUUGCUUCUUGCGACGUUCUCGCGCCAAGUGCGCUUCGCGUACGAGGUGAAUUAAGCCGGAUCGACGCGCCUAAACGCUGGUAAAACCGCUUGACGCUGUCGGUUCCGAGCCAGUUGAGAUAUUACACGUUUCUAACAUCGGCAAACGAUUAACGGCACUAAAUAGUGAGAAUUCUUAAUUACGAUCUUAAUACGAUUGUAAUUUUGUAUUCUUCUGCGCGGUGCUUGACGUUUCGUGUUAGUUCCGUUGUGUUUUUCCGCACUCGUCGACUCAAGGUGCCGAUUCCACGGAGCAUUCUUCGAACUGGAAAUCAUAUCGUGGGAGUUAUAAACGUGGGGUGACGCGCAAAAGACUUUUUUACAAUUAAUUAGUCCUCGCGCGAUUAUAACUUCAAUAAUCGCGAGUGUCUUUCGCGAGUGUUUUUCGCGAGUGUCUCGUGACAAGGAAGGACAGCCUGUUCUGAGAGGAGGAGGAGGUCCAGGAAGGGCAUCGGGCCCCGGCAGAGCAACCUUGGGAAUCAUCGUAGCGACGUUGCUGAAUAUCUCUGCCGCUGCGCAUCGGUCGGUCGGUCAGCCGUAACAAUAUCGUUGAGAACUCUGAUUACCAUAAUUCUAUUUUCUUUGAGAAGAUGAGUCAGCCAAGAAGUAGGACGAGAAAUAGUAGACGAGAAGAGGGGAAGGAGGGUUAUCGCCGUAAUCGAAGCGAUCCGCAGAAGAUUGGCCAAGAUCACUAUGCUUGCAUCCAACGACCCUGACAAGAAGACGAAGUUUAACGCGUGGAUAGUCAGGCAGUUUCGUCAAGCGUGAAGUUGAGACUUUGGCUUGUAUAUACUUCGUACUUUAUAGCUGUCAAACUUGCAGAACUUUGCACAAUCACGCGAUAAGUACUCACGCUUUUAAUCGAACGCAACGGAGUUCAGUUACUCAACGAAAAACCUGAUCUAACACGAUGUAACCGUCAAACACUCACAAAUUACAUUGUACAAAACACUAUAAGCGAGUAAAGAGCUAUAAAAAGUCUCUAGAAAAUCUUCUAAAUCGAACUCGUCCUGAACAAUAUUUUCCAUAAACGCGGACCGACAGAUCAAGAAUAUUUCUAACACCUAAUAUAACUUUAAUAUAAACAUUAUUUUUAUAUGCUUUAUAAUUACACUUCAUUAUUUUUAAAAUAAUACAAAUGCUCCCGGACUGUGAUAAAUCCAGCCGAGUAAAGAUUUUGUUUAUUAUAAUAUUCGCGAUCUAUGAAAAACGUAAACAGUUUUACGUGUAAUAGAAAAAAGAGAAGGAAGAAAUCGUGCUCGUUGUGAAUCGAAACGUGACGCGCAUACAUUCAUGCCGGCAAACACGAAGUUUCAUCGCGGUUACAUAACAAUGCGAGCCUUUAAUCAGACGACGUGUGUGAAUCGUAAGGUUCAACCGUAGGAGCGACGAGGCGUAUAAGCAGGUCAGAGACUGGCGCCACGACGACGGCAUUAUCCAAUGAAGCGGACAAAUUAUUCUAUAUAAGAUAAUCGCUUCUGCUGCACCGACUCUUCCUUCUCUUCUCAUCCGGUCCACACGUUUCGCCAAUGAACCGUGAUCUCUUCUAGGAAAACGCUUCUCGCCAUUUGCGUUACUUGUUGCGCGUCGAUACUCCAAUCGACUGUAAAACUGCCGCCCGUACAUUUCACGCGCCAAACGCGUAACGCGAUCGUACGCGCACUAAAACUCAUAAAGUAUACAUUAAAUAACGCGCCGAUACGUGGCGUUUUAAUAUGUAAACGAAAUGACAUGUUGAUCGAUGCGCCACGAAAAUAUUAACUGAGUGUGGAUAAACAAGCAAGAUAAGAGCACUGCAUAUUAGCACAAUUUGAACGAUAAUAUCUAAAUUGUAAAUUAAUCACAGGUAGCAAUUAUCAUGCUGGCGUUUUAGAAAAUGAGUAAUUAAAUUUCUCUUUUCCAAUUACUUUAGUUCUUUCUAAACAAUUUAUCUGCAUUUGCCCUUUAGUUUCUUUCAUCGUUCCGAUCUCUGUUGUUUAAAUUAAUUACAUUCAUGCAUUUAUGAAUUAUACUUUGCGUAUAAAUUAAUAAUUUAUACGUCGCGCGAAAUCAAUACUAAAGUCGAACAAAAGUACUCUUUAGAACAUGUGACCUUAAAACACGAAAUGAUAACGGAACAUGAGGGAAGCAUAGGGGUUCUAUCGGUCUUUAUAGACGAAUUACGAGAGAGUCGAGAACCUGCGGUCGAUGUCGUAAACCUACACGGGCAGGCAGUUCGUGUGAUCUCUGACGGUACUUUCAGAAACGUUCUGGUUAUCUCUAGUAUUGUUAUCUUCCGUACACUGGAUUCCGGCGUGGACGAAUUCCAUACGAUCUCUGUUAUCCGUAAUAGUAUCCCCGUAAAAAUGUUAACACUCUCUGAGUGCACCGACAGUUCUUGAAAUCAUAACGAGAGUAUAUUAAGACAAGACCACGUGGAUUAUCUUAAUUAAGCGCAUUUAAUGUUGUAUGCUUGCCACUUUAAUGUCUUGUUGUAUGCUUAUUUAGAUUGUCUUCAGUAGAUCAUGAAUUUAAAUUCGAUAUCGAGAGGCCAGGAUUUCUUACACCGCAUAAUAUUUGUCUAUUAACGCUUAAAAUAAUUUACAUGUGUAAUCGUUUGAAUAUUCAAGCAUAAAAUAUAAGCGAAAGAAAAUCAUUUUUUUCUUUAAAUACCCGCCCACAGAUGUUACGUUAAAAAAAAUCGAACGAGUGUCUAAAAUAUUUAAAAGAUACACGUAUACAUGCAGCAUUCAUAAAAAUAAAAUAAUUUGUUCUCCGUCGUGUAAUAUAACCCUACCGUUUUUCAAAUAUUUUUACGUACAUAUUGUAAUUGACACACGGUUACCUAGCAUCGCAGAUCUGAGACCAACGUAGCUAAACACGAGAUCGAUUUGUCGGUUCGCUUCUGUAGCGCAACGCGGACUCGUCUCCCAUGAUAUAUUCGACCAAUGGAAUUCAGUAAUAUCACCGGCAGCAGUAAUUAAUGAGCGUACCGCGCUCUACGCACAUAUUUUCCGCAAGGCUGGAAAUCGUAGCAUUAAUGCGUGACCGCGUCGGUUUGAACGGCAUGUGUUUCCGGGAUAGUCUACGUUCAUAUAUGUACUUGCUGCUGGGUAUACGAGAACGUAUAUUACAUCAAAGGAAAAAUUUUUAAUGAAAUUAUAACCAGCUCUUUUUUAACAGCCGACAUGUUAAUAAUUCAUUACACGUACAAUGUAAAUAAUUUAUUAACAUUAUUUGACAAUGUCGCUGGAAAUAGAAAAGGCAAUUUCUUGCAAAUUUUAAAAUUCCUUUGUUUAACUUAAAUUUCACGAGAUUAAAGAAUAAGUAGAAUUCUUAUUUUACAUUUUCUAAUUAUAGUUGUUAACAUAAAUAAAAUUUCGGACGUUACAUGAUAAAUGAUCGCGUUUCCUUGCUUUGAAAAAAAAUUAUUUAGAAAAAUCAAUACAAUCUUUGAAAAGUUAUAAAAAUCCGUCAAAAAUCUGUUCCUAAAAUGUGUCAAGCAGGUCUUCUGGAACAUAUACGCGAACAUUUACGCGCGCGGCUAAUGCAUCGCGUGAUUUUAUCGGCGUAAUCGGCCGUAAUGCGUGCGGAUCUCCGCGAUGCGUAAUACCCCCCUAUCGUCCCUCUUUGCGGUAGCAGCGAUAAUGAAACGGCGAUUAAUAACCGCAGCGGAGACAGUUUAUGACUAUGUAGAAAAUAGGUCGCAUAACACGCAUUCACUUUGAUCGCGAUGAAACGUUUUACAGGAAUUACUCAUACGCCGGAUUUGCGCACUUGCAACCAGCAUUGGCAAAUUUCGAAAGGCAUAUCAGUCGUAAUAAUUCAAAAUAAGCUGAACGCAAUGAUUAACACCGUAUAAUAUCUGCAUUGUGAUUUUAUCAAUAUUCGCUCGCGUUCGAAAUCAGUAAGUCCAUUUGCAACUACGCGAAUUAUAUCAUCUCUUGUGAAAUAAAAAAUUUCUGAAUAAAAAAUUUAAUUACAUUAUCAGUUAAAAUUUUUGUCAUAUUUUCAAUUGAAAAGUAUUAAUAAAUAUAAUAACUGUUUCAUUGUAUCUUUUCAUACGAGAAGGGAAGAGCUUUACAAUUUUAAUGAAGUCUCAUCCUUGUCCAUAUAUAUCUUCAUAAAGAAUAUAAAUGCAAAUCAAAAUUUAGUAUGUAAGUAGUGUGACUUGAUUUGAGUAACUUAAUCGUAAGUAAGGAAACCAUUUUUAAUUUCUUUUCCUAGGAUUUAAAAUAAGUGGAUUGAAAAAAAGUUUAAUAAUUUUAAAGCCGCGACUCUCGAUGUCGAAGAGAAGGAAUUCAUGAACAUUUCAUGAAAUGGAUUCCUAUCAAACUUUUACAUUUAUCUACGUUUUAGAGAGUCAAUAUAUUCAGCAGUCCCCGGCUUCAUCAUACUAUUCCGCAAUUUUAAACAGUCGAUCGAAUAUUUGACCCGAAUAUAUUCGAUAUUUGUACUCAAGGGCCAAAUAACAGAGGUCAAAUAUCGUCGUCUGAAAGUGAAGGUACGUCGCCACUCGUACCAGCUUCAAAAACGCUUUCGAAAUUCGGAUACGAUCUCGGGGAUCUUGGCGAUUCACAGCCGGUCGGGGACACCCACCCUAUCCGGCGAAGAUCGAAGAUUGAGGAAGGAUCGGAGGAAGCGAUUUACGUAAUUUCCAUGGAGGAUAGCAAAGGACCUCUGGAGGAGUUAUGGCGUCUCUUUGCAUACGAGCACGAGGGAUCCAUCUUAAUCGAAAGGCUGGCGGUGUAGCUCGUUCGUGUGCGCGCAUUCAGAGCCAUAUUCCCGACAAUGGCGUUUUCCGUGCUGCAAAUUGCAUUUUUAUGCCUCUUUCCUGUUCGCAUAACAUUCAACAGAACUCGUAAUCGUAACAUCAUAGUUAAUUUCGUUAUACGUUCAUACCUCAACAGUAUGAAAUUCAGCACUGUACACGAAGUGACAUAAAAUUUUACGCGAUUAAUUGUGACAUGUAAAACAAAUAAUACCAAAAUGUUAUAAAAGACGAAAAAUAUAAAAAAUAUAUAAAGAUAAAUCACAUAUCUUCAUGUUUGUAUUAAAUUAAAAGCAUUGCAAUCUGAUAAGUUAACGUUAUUGACUCUAUCACUCUAGUUAAUUUUCAAGGAUGGCUAUACAACGAUGUAAUUCAUCUUCAGAUAUAUCUUAUUCUCCAGAUUAAACAUAGUCCCUCCCUCUUAUGUCGCUAUAAUAAAUCUUUAGACGAUGAUGUAUCAAUGUCUUCUCUCUCUUUCCCAAGAAACCCUUUUAAAAAAUUAAUAAGCAAGAAUAUAUCUUUAUUAUAUUUUUCAAAUUAAAAUAUGAAUUACGUGUUAGAUGAAAAGGGAUUAUUCUUUCAAGAACGAUAAUCAUGUAUAAUAAAUGUAUAUAUUUUUACAUUUUUUUUAUGUAAUAAAGUUCAGUGCUCAUUUGCAAAUGUAUUUCCUCUGUCAACAGUAUAAUAAAUAUUGUAUAAUUCAUCAUAAAAAAUAUACAAAUAUAAAUUUUUUAGUUUGUUUUAUUCAUAGUAAUAAACUAUUACUAAAUAAAUAAUAAUUUAACUAAACACCAUGCGCAUUUGUACCAAGAAUAAGUUUAUUUAAUAUAAAUUUUUCUAUUUUUUUGUAAGUCACACAGAGAAUGGAUAACAAAAUAAAUUUUAAUCUACCUUUUCUUUCUUAAUUUACCAGCUCAGCUGGAAGCAGUAGCUCAUGGAAAAGAUGAAAAAGACCAAGUUCUUGCAACAUUUUUCCUUUGACUACCAUGCAAAGUAAAUAAAACCCGACAAAAAUAAGUAUAACUAGACGUUUGUAAUAAAACACACGAGUUUCGUCGCGAUUCAUCAUUCAAUAUACGUAAUUUUUUCCUCUCGGCAAAAAUCCAUUUGCAUUCAUCAUAAAAGAUUCAUUAUGACAUUAUUUAUCAGGAAAGAGAUAAUUUAGUACUUAUUUGCUAUAUUCGCAGAGUUGUCAUAAAACAUCGCAAGACAUCAAAUAACAAAAAUUUUCAUUUAUAUUUGUUAUUUCAAAGUCAAAUAAUAAGAUUAUGAUAAAGCUCGCACUGUUAAAUUAUUCUUUAAAAUAUUUAUUUGAAAUUUUUCGUAUUUAUGAUAAUCACAGUUAAUACAACAUAUAGAGAAAAGAAUAGUAUAAAAAGUUAAAAUUUGCUCACAAAAUAAUUAUCAAUCAUUUGAAACUCGUAUGACUUGACUUAUCAAUAUUAUUCUAAGGGCUACGCGACUCAAUGCGGUAAAAAAAAUCGAUGAAAAGCGAAUAGAAGGUGGAAGAGUAUCAUGAGAUCGUCAACAUAUAAAAGGGAGCACGUAGGGCGAACGGGGAAAAAGAAAAGAAUGCUGCGGGGGAAGAGGGAAGAGGGAGAAUGGCGGCGACGAAAUAACGUGUAAAAAGGACAACGCGGCGACUUGGGGAGAGAAAGCAUUAAAGCGCGAGGAUGAAAGAAGUCCUUUUGUGUUUCCCAGGUGAGCGUUAUAAAUGAGCUCCGGGGGGGGAGGGGACUGACAGAGGGGGUUGCUCAAGAGGACGAGGAGAGCAGGGUAGGAUGCCACACCUAUGCCACCAGAAGCCAAAAACGAGACCACCAUGAGGAUCCAAAUCUACUUUGCGAACAAAAUGCCUCUCAUUGUCAGUGAGGAAUAAUAUACUAAUAGAGUUUUUUUCUAGAAAUAUCUGACUUCAACCCAAUAGGUAAACUCAGAUGAGUUAUUUAGUUUACUUGUCACAUUAAUUAAAGACAUAUUUAUACGCCACGAUUUUGAUUAAAGAUAUAAAUAGUUGUAAUUUCUAUUGACAAAAAUAUUUGAAAAAUUACUUGAGAAAUAACAUUCUUUUCCUUCGCGAUCCUUUAGAUCGAUAUUUUCGUAAUCGAUAUGCUAAAUGCGAAUCUAAGUAUGACGAGACGAACGAUAGAGUUUAGAUCACUCGGGUGUGGAAUGAAAGAUCGCGCCAUUAUAAAUGGUGGUUGGUCACACGUCGUUCGUCUUGUUUCAAAAUGACCACAAAUAAAGUUCUAAUGGUAGCCGCGUACGCUAUACACCUCACGCUUCUGUCAGUGGAUACAGGUGGCUCUUUUACAGAGAUAAUCGUCAACUUGGUGGUCCAUCCACUGAAGCUCCUCGCCAAAUUGCUACCGCGGCUCAUUAUAUUCGCGUCAGCGCCGGCCGCAUCUCGUGCAGCCAUGCGUGAACGACGCAGCUAGAGGUGGCUAGUCCUCUUGAUCUCUUCUCGACUUCUUAUUUCGCCGGUCCCGGUCUCAUUUCGUGUCUACUUCGCUCAUUGUGAGCAGGUCGACCGGUUCUUCUCUCUCGUCGCGAGAUUCGCAGAAUAAUUCAAUAACGUCGCUAAUGCCGCGACUCAGUUGGUCGACUCUUCGCGCCUGCCACCGUCUUCCAAUUUAGAUAUCGCACGAUAGAACAUCGCGUCUGUAUUGAUCGUCCCCUCACAAUCUCGCCAGCAAAUAUGAAUAUUGGAUCCGUCGUGUUGCUUCGAAUAUUACGAGGUGGGGAGACAAAAAUUUCCUAAUCGAAAAGAAGAUAACGUCGCACGGAAAAAAUCCAUAUAUUACUUAAGCACGAUAUUAUCGCGCAUAGAAGGAAAUUGCAAUAUUUCUAAAAGUGAAAGUAAUUCGUACGUUGCAUCAUUGAAAGCAAAACUAUAAGUAACUCUCAGUAUGUUAAUGAGUCAUUACAAUAUCAGAUUUACAAAAUCAUUCGAAGUGUGAGAUAUUGUAAUUUUCUGAAUAACACUUUGCUUGUGUGUUUCGAUGAAGUGAUUAGCGCGGCAGUAGCCGAAUCUCCCCGUACGGAUUCCAUCAAUCUCCAUUUCGAUCGCAUGCAAUCACGAUCCCUGGAGGUGUCCCAGGUCUCCUUCGCGUAAGGAUAAUGAAAGCGAGGGACAGGUUCGCGCCUGGUGGUCACCAGCGCGUUCUAAUCCAGGCAUACCGAAGAUAAAGCAUAUUGUAUACAGGCGAGAGGAAGCUAUUCAGGCCUGACAAUGAGCUAAAUAAAGAUGCGCUCACGCCCACGCGGAAUUCCGCCUAAUGCCAACCGUAACGAUUUUCGAAACGACACGUGGAGACGAUAUUCCGACGCGUGUGUUCGGUCGGUUGAUCCUGGCGCGCUGCGGGGCGUGCCGCCGGUUGAUUCAGAACGAGCGUACCCACACGAAGAUGAUUAUCGUCUCACAUGGACACCCGGGAAUAUCGCGUCUCUCCGUCUGUCGAGAUCGACGCAUUUCGAGCACCUGACUGUCGCGUGACUCACGUCUAAAUCAGUCGAUCCUCGCCCAGAACGUGUCUUGCUCCUCUCUCAAUCGAUUUCGUCUCGCGGGCCGAUUCUUACUUUCGAUAUCGCAUCCUAGAUUAGACAACGAUGUUUGAACUAGAAACUCAUCUGGUGCAACUGGUUACUGAUAACUUUUAUUGAGUAUUAAUUUUGGAAAAGUUCAAUGUGAUCAAAAAGAUUCUUUGUUAAAAAAUUAUUUGUCUAGAAACAUUUUAUGAGAAAUAGAAAAUUUAAAAUAAGUAUAGUCACACAUAAAAUUUACGAGUAACAAAGCAUCAAUAUGACAUGCCUACAGUUUCUUAUGUUUUAUAUAAAAAGCAAGCAAUAUUUAAAUAAUUCGCCAUGCAUCAGCGAUGGUGCGGUGAUUCGAUAGAUCAACGAUUUUUCGCAAUAUUAAAUUCCGUUGUAGCGGAAGGCAGCCCACGCGAGGAGGUCACCAGAACGUACAAAAGUGUUCAAGACAUAUGUCCCCGGCACCGAAUAAUAUCUCGAGAACCUGACAUUAGGGAGGAUCGCGCGACGUUCUCCAAGCGACGCAAAAGCAGUUGAUAAUAUACAUUUUGUGCAUGAAUUACGACCAACAAAAAAUUGCAAAAGCCAUUUUUUCGAACUGGUGUAUUUCUCUCCACCUGUUUUAGCCUCAAAAUAUACGUGCGAUUAUGUUCUUCCUA
rnacentral:lncRNA from 1 species